rnacentral:rRNA from 1 species
ACGACCACAUUGAAAACACCGGUUCUCGUCCGAUCACCGAAGUUAAGCAAUGUCGGGCCCGGUCAGUACUUGGGAGGGUGACCACCGGGUGCUGUAGGCU